GGUCAUAAAGGGCAGCUUUGCACCCAUCCUCCUCCUAAGGCCUAAGGGCUGGGACCAGCAUCCAGGGGCACCAUGGAGCCUGAGGUCUCUGACCCAAUGGGCUCCUGGGCAGCACCACUAACUGAGAUGCGAGAGGAAAGGCCCUUGCUUGCUUUGGGUCACCUGGCAGGAAAGGGCAAAGCUAAGAGCAGAACCCACCCUGGCAAUCUGACUUAUCUCACGGUGCUCCAUCGCAUACUCCUGGAGGUGUCUGCCCAUCCCACCACACAUACACAGCAGCCACCUCUAUCACUCUGCAUGCCCGGUCACCUCCAGCAACCAGCCUGGGAGAAUGAGGCCUCUGUGAAGAGUCAGCAGCACAAAAGAGAGAAAACGGAGAUUGGAAAAGGAAUACCAGGAAGGAGCUUUGAUGGGGGAUGGCCUUCUGUAUAUCUUAUUGGUUGAUGAAUAAAACACUGUUUGGCCAUAGAGGCAUGAAGACAGGCGGGGCUAGAAGACAGGAGAAUGCUGGGGGAGAGGCAGAGCACGCGAAGGACCAGGAGGACAGGACACCAGGCGUUCUCUGACCACCCAGUGUUCCCAGGCUCAUCCCAAGAACAUCAUUCAGCGACAACAGCGUCCAGACCCUGCGGACCACCAGUCCCUCAGAUGACAGCAUAUUCUACCUUCCAGAAGAUGGUAACCUACAGCCACUCCAACUCCUCAUACUUCAUCCUCCAACUAACCGAAGGGAACAGAAGAGGAAUGUUAGCGCUGUAAGGGAGAUGCCUAAAGGGACUCUGCGAAGCAUGGAAACCAUAGCACCAAAGUUCCAAGUGCAUCCCCCAAAGAGACCUCAUUCUGUCAAUGAGAGUUAUAGAAGUGCCCCCUUUUCUGCAUCUCCUCAUGCGUCCUUGUCCAUCACGGCCUGUGACUAACCCCUAAAUCCAGCCAUCCCCCUAUGUGGCCUCAGUCACAGGACAGGAAAGAUAAACAGAGAGACUCUGAGCAGGAGUCGCAGAGAAACAGGAAGUUCUGCCUGGCUGUGGCUGCCAUGCUAGAGGGACCAAGCCCUCAGGAGCACUAGGCCCUCAGGGGCACAGAAGGAUGGCAGUCGGUUGGUGGGCUUGCUCAGUAGCUGCACAGAAGCAUGAAGUCCUGCGUCGGUCAGUCCCAGCCCUGACACUGAAACUGGCCAAGCCUCUGCCAAGCUACUUUGCCCAAACCUCCCCAUGCCCAGUCUGGGAAAUGGGGCUGACCACUCAGCAGUGAGAGGACAUGAUGUAGAGAAGACAUCUGAGGGGGCCUUCGGGGUGCUGUUCCAGCAGGGACCCUGUGGGUACACUUGGAAGGAUCCCAGUUGUCUCAUUGGACGGUAGAAACAGCCAGUACUGGUCCGAGUGCCCUCGCCACCUCCACCCCAGUGGUCCCCGACCAUCGAAUGUCCCGGAUUGACACAUGCCCAGUGUGCAUUCUGCCCCCGGCCUUCAAAUCCCUCGAUUCCCUUCUGGGUGACAUCACUCUAGCCCACAGGAUGAAGUAUCUGUGACUCUACUAUCCACCAAGGCCUGCUACCUCCUGGGCCUUCCCCCACCUGCAAGGGACCCCUCCCCGAGUUUUUCCUCAAGUGUGACAGCCAACACCAACACAGCCCAAAGUCCAGGACACAAAAAAUGUUCCACUUGCUUACUCAGGCCAUGGGGAACCCAGCCCAAAGCCCAUUACCACCUCAUUCCAUCCUCCCACAUGGGAAACCCCAAACUUUCUUCCCACAUCUCUUAGCCUCUCGGAAUGCCAACCAUAGACACGUUUUUUUGUUUUGUUUUUUUUUUUCAUGACAGUCAAGACCAGCCGUGGCCUCUUCACUGCCCAGUACUAGACACUCAGCUCUGAGACCAUCUGGGUAGAAAUCCCCAGCAGAGGCCACCCCAACACAGUCCAGUCUACAGUUCCCAUGUGUUGCGGGGAGUGGGGGGUGCUCUCUGCAGGGGCUAGGUUGAAGGGGGUC